GUGGUCACUUCAGCAGCACAUAUACUAAUAUUGGAAUGAUACAGAGAAAGUUAGCAUGGCCACUGCCAAGGAUGUCACACAAAUUUCUUAGGCGUUUUAUAUUUCA